rnacentral:rRNA from 1 species
AGGUGAAGAAAGGGCCGGGCAAGACCGGUGCCAGCCGCCGCGGUAAUACCGGCGGCUCGAGUGGUGGCCACUAUUACUGGGCUUAAAGCGUUCGUAGCUGGUCUGUUAAGUCUCUGGGGAAAUCUACUGGCUUAACCAAUAGGCGUCUCAGGGAUACUGGCAGACUAGGGACCGGGAGAGGUGAGAGGUACUCCAGGGGUAGGAGUGAAAUCCUGUAAUCCUUGGGGGACCACCUGUGGCGAAGGCGUCUCACCAGAACGGCUCCGACAGUGAGGGACGAAAGCUGGGGGAGCAAACCGGAUUAAAUACCCGGGUAGUCCCAGCCGUAAACGAUGCGCGUUAGGUGUAUCGGUGACCACGAGUCACCGAGGUGCCGAAGAGAAAUCGUGAAACGUGCCGCCUGGGAAGUACGGUCGCAAGGCUGAAACUUAAAGGAAUUGGCGGGGGAGCACCACAACAGGUGGAGCCUGCGGUUUAAUCGGACUCAACGCCGGAAAUCUCACCGGAUAAGACAGCUGGAUGAUAGUCGGGCUGAAGACUCUACUUGACUAGCUGACAGGAGGUGCAUGGCCGUCCUCAGUUCGUA